CCUACGGGAGGCAGCAGUGAGGAAUAUUGGUCAAUGGACGAGAGUCUGAACCAGCCAAGUAGCGUGAAGGAUGACUGCCCUAUGGGUUGUAAACUUCUUUUAUAUGGGAAUAAAAUGUUCCACGUGUGGGAGUUUGUAUGUACCAUAUGAAUAAGGAUCGGCUAACUCCGUGCCAGCAGCCGCGGUAAUACGGAGGAUCCGAGCGUUAUCCGGAUUUAUUGGGUUUAAAGGGAGCGUAGGUGGAUUGUUAAGUCAGUUGUGAAAGUUUGCGGCUCAACCGUAAAAUUGCAGUUGAAACUGGCAGUCUUGAGUACAGUAGAGGUGGGCGGAAUUCGUGGUGUAGCGGUGAAAUGCUUAGAGAUCACGAAGAACUCCGAUUGCGAAGGCAGCUCACUGGACUGCAACUGACACUGAGGCUCGAAAGUGUGGGUAUCAAACAGGAUUAGAUACCCUUGUAGUC
rnacentral:rRNA from 1 species